AUUGAACGCUGGCGGCAUGCCUUACACAUGCAAGUCGAACGGUAACAGGUCUUCGGAUGCUGACGAGUGGCGAACGGGUGAGUAAUACAUCGGAACGUGCCUAGUAGUGGGGGAUAACUACUCGAAAGAGUGGCUAAUACCGCAUGAGAUCUACGGAUGAAAGCAGGGGAUCGCAAGACCUUGUGCUACUAAAGCGGCCGAUGGCAGAUUAGGUAGUUGGUGGGAUAAAAGCUUACCAAGCCGACGAUCUGUAGCUGGUCUGAGAGGACGAUCAGCCACACUGGGACUGAGACACGGCCCAGACUCCUACGGGAGGCAGCAGUGGGGAAUUUUGGACAAUGGGCGCAAGCCUGAUCCAGCAAUGCCGCGUGCAGGAUGAAGGCCUUCGGGUUGUAAACUGCUUUUGUACGGAACGAAAAGCCCUGGGUUAAUACCCUGGGGUCAUGACGGUACCGUAAGAAUAAGCACCGGCUAACUACGUGCCAGCCGCCGCAGUAAGAC
rnacentral:rRNA from 1 species